rnacentral:snRNA from 1 species
GUGCCCGCUUCGGCAGCACAUAUACUAAAAUUGGAACAACACAGAGAAGAUUAGCAUGGCCCCUGCGUAAGGAUGAUAUGCAAAAAGCAGGAAUGGAAAAAUAUUGU